AGGGUUGGGUGUGAGCCGUGAGCCCGGCUGUGUGCUGAGGGGAGCGUUGGUUCUGAGCGUGCCUGGAUGUGCGAGUGGCUGGGCUGCUCCUUGCGAAGUGCAGAAUACUCUAAAGAAGAAAAUGCUCUAAUAGCGAACGAAGCGUGGUGAAUGACGGAAUAGUUUGGGUUGAAAAGGAGCUUAAAGCCCCCACAGUUGCAACCCCCUGCUGUGGGCAGGGCUGCCACCCUCCACCUCAGGCUGCCCGGGGCCUUGAGGUGAGAAGAGGCUGGAAAUACCAGCUCAAAUUAAUAGCCACGCCGUAGAAUCAUAGAGUCUUUACGGUUGGAAAAAGCCACUGAGACCAUCUAGUCCAACCCCAACCCAGCCCCACCAUGCCCACUGAGCACAUCCCUCAGUGCCACAUCCACAUGGCUCCUGAACGCCUCCAUCAGCAAUGAGUCCACCACCUCCCUGGGCAGCCUGUGCCACUGCAGCACCACUCUAUCAGAGAAGAAAUUCUUCCUAAUAUCCGAUCAUACCUGCAGUGUAAAAAAAAACACUAGAUAGAACAGCAUUCCUGAGAUUCGUGGGAGUGGUCCCACACAAGGACUCCCAGUCCUCACAGAGGACUGGCACAGGCUCUAACGCCACCUGUGGCUCCAGGCCUUCAAAAGGGUGCACCAGAGAUGGGAAGGACCACCCCCAAUGCCACUUUUGUUUGUUCUGUUUGGAGAGGCUUCCAGGAGGCAACAAUCUUUUCACCUUGGAAACAAGAACAUCUUUUACCUUUAGCCUGAUCCAAGAGCUGCUGAAAUCAGUGGAAGAGCUCCUAGUGAUUUGAGCAUAUGAUCACAAGAAAAAGCAUUUGUUUGGGACUCAGAAGCUUCUAAGUCGUUGGUGCCUUGUCAAAUUAAAUAGGCACAGAAUUUGGAAAAGACAGAGCUUAUAAUGUAGCUUCACCUGGUAUGCGACUUCGUUAUUUUGUCUUCUGCACUGUUCCUUUGUUGUCUGAUACACUGAACACAUUUUUCUUCCCUAGAGCGUCCUGUUUACGGUCACCAAACCAGCUUCAGUUCUAUUUAAUUAAACAUGAUAAUUCCCAUUCAAAAGCAAAUAAACUGGCCUAGAGAAUUG
ensembl:lncRNA